GGACUCCGCGGUGCCGGCCGACCCGGAAGCAUGUCUGUCCCUAGCGGAGGCGCGGGUGCCGUGCUGAGAGCGCCUGCCUGUGCGCCCCGAGCGGGGCUGGGACUCUUCCAAGAUGCCCACGUUCGCACAGAGACCCCGGAUCGCGGAAGCUCGCGUCUCGUCCCGCAGGCGGUCUCACGCCCUGCCCGUCCUGGGUUCACGGUUUUUCAUCACCUGCGGCUGUCCUGCGAUCGACCACAGCUGUGCAGGAGGGGCAGGAGGUAUCUGUUGCUGCAGUUACCGGAACCUUUGCCAGGACUAGUACAGUUCCCCAGGCUGGUAGCUCAGGGAUGUCUCGUCUGUGAGUUACAGCUGCACGCUCUCCAGGAAAGAAGGAAUUUCCUCUUCUCUGGAAACCCCACCACACAGCUGGUUUCUCAUUGGUGCUGCUUGCCCAUUCCCUGAGCUGUGACUGCCAGAGGAGUGGGAGGUUGGUGGUGCCUCCAGCCCAUCAGGGGCAGGCCCUGGGACCGCCUGGGAACAGGAGGACUAUGGCACAAACCGAGUGAGUGAUGGGAGCAACCCGCAGGGCUCUGCCACAUCCCUGUCUUCCUUCACUGACAUGAAACGCAGAAAAGGCAGCUUUGCCACAACACAGGAGCACGCACCGAAUGUGGCCGCCCAGGGCUCUGUCCUUGACCCUGUUGUCCAGGACUGUUUACCAAGGGCUGACAGGCACUGAGUGCCCCGUGCACCUGGCCAGACACUGCACUCAUGCAGCGGAAAGGACAGUGAACGAGACUUUGUCCCUGGCCUCCAAAGGCUUAGGGCGUAGUGGCUGUCAUGAGGCACAGUGACAAGGGCCAGGAGGGGGACCUCUUAGGGGGCCAUGCAGUGAUGGAAGCCAGAAGGAAUGAAGGCCUGCAGUGAGGAUGGAGUGGUCGGCCUGAAGCCAUCUCUAGCAAGUGGUCAGGACGCUGAUUGUUCUGCGCAGGUUGGAGGUAGGUGGUGAGUCUGAGAAAGGGGCCGGAAAGACUCCCCAGCAACUGCUGGCAAAGGGUGAAGGGCACGUUCCCACAGGAUUCAAGCCAGCUGCCUUUGGAGGGGAGACGGGCACUCAGUUUAGGCGCUCCUACAGCAGGGUCAGCAAGACAAG
rnacentral:lncRNA from 10 species